GACGAACGCUGGCGGCGUGCUUAACACAUGCAAGUCGAACGAUGAAGAAAAGAAUUGAAGCUUCGGCAGAAAUUCAUUUCGGAUUAGUGGCAGACGGGUGAGUAACGCGUGAGCAACCUACCUCUUACAAAGGGAUAGCCUCGGGAAACCGGGAUUAAUACCAUAUAACAUUGCGACGAAGCAUUUCGAUGCAAUCAAAGCUACGGCGGUAAGAGAUGGGCUCGCGUCCCAUUAACCAGAUGGUGAGGUAACGGCUCACCAUAGUAACGAUGGGUAACCGGCCUGAGAGGGUGAACGGUCACACUGGAACUGAGACACGGUCCAGACUCCUACGGGAGGCAGCAGUGGGGAAUAUUGCACAAUGGAGGGAACUCUGAUGCAGCGACGCCGCGUGAGUGAUGAAGGAAUUCGUUUCGUAAAACUCUGUUCUAUGGGAAGAAAAGGACUGUACCAUAGGAGAAAGCUCCGGCUAACUACGUG
rnacentral:rRNA from 1 species